AAACCCUUUGUAAUUGAAAUCAGCGUCUGAAAAAACAUAAUAGUUACAACUUUCAACAACGGAUCUCUUGGUUCUGGCAUCGAUGAAGAACGCAGCGAAAUGCGAUAAGUAGUGUGAAUUGCAGAAUUCAGUGAAUCAUCGAAUCUUUGAACGCACAUUGCGCCCCUUGGUAUUCCAUGGGGCAUGCCUGUUCGAGCGUCAUUU
rnacentral:rRNA from 1 species